GCAUUGUUGGGGUAGUGGUAACCUGGAUCGUUGCCACUGAAUGACGCGGGUUCGAUCCGCCCCGGGUUCGAUUCCCGGACAAUGCA